rfam:Capsicum annuum cultivar Zunla-1 unplaced genomic scaffold scaffold258, whole genome shotgun sequence
AUACAUUUCUCAGCCUUUUGGUCAAGAUCAAGUGUAGUAUCUGUUCUUAUCAGCUUAAAAUCUGAUUGUGGGCCAUUGGUUCACAUGAUAUUAACUCUAUUUUUUGAGGGGGAAGGCUUGUCAAGGUAGAUUGCCGCCUGGGCCUUCAUCCGUCGCCUAAGCGUUGCAUUAUUGUUUGGCCUGGCAUACCCCAC